UUCCUACGGGGCGCAGCAGUAGGGAAUCUUCCACAAUGGGCGAAAGCCUGAUGGAGCAACGCCGCGUGGGUGAAGAAGGUCUUCGGAUCGUAAAACCCUGUUGUUAGAGAAGAAAGUGCGUGAGAGUAACUGUUCACGUUUCGACGGUAUCUAACCAGAAAGCCACGGCUAACUACGUGCCAGCAGCCGCGGUAAUACGUAGGUGGCAAGCGUUAUCCGGAUUUACUGGGUGUAAAGGGAGCGCAGGCGGCGCGUUAAGCCUGGUGUGAAAGCCCGCGGCCCAACCGCGGGACUGCAAUGGGAAG
rnacentral:rRNA from 1 species